rnacentral:rRNA from 1 species
UACGUAGGGGGCAAGCGUUGUCCGGAUUUAUUGGGCGUAAAGAGCGUGUAGGCGGCCAAGCAGGUCAGCUGUGAAAACUCGAGGCUCAACCUCGAGACGUCGGUUGAAACCGCUUGGCUAGAGUCCGGAAGAGGAGAGUGGAAUUCCCGGUGUAGCGGUGAAAUGCGCAGAUAUCGGGAAGAACACCCGUGGCGAAGGCGGCUCUCUGGGACGGUACUGACGCUGAGACGCGAAAGCGAU